GAUCCUGGCUCAGGACGAACGCUGGCGGCGUGCUUAACACAUGCAAGUCGAACGAUGAAGCUGGGAGCUUGGUUUUGGUGGAUUAGUGGCGAACGGGUGAGUAAUACGUGAGUAACCUGCCCCNUUCUUUGGGAUAANCCUGGGAAACUGGGUCUAAUACUGAAUAUUCUGCGUCUGCCGCAUGGUGGGUGUUGGAAAGGGUUUUUCUGGUGGGGGAUGGGCUCGCGGCCUAUCAGCUUGUUGGUGGGGUGAUGGCNUACCAAGGCGUCGACGGGUAGCCGGCCUGAGAGGGUGACCGGCCACAUUGGGANUGAGAUACGGCCCAGANUCNUACGGGAGGCAGCAGUGGGGAAUAUUGCACAAUGGACGCAANUCUGAUGCAGCGACGCCGCGUGGGGGAUGAAGGCUUUCGGGUUGUAAACUCCUUUUAACACUGAAGAAGCGUUGAGUGACGGUAGGUGUUGAAUAAGCGCCGGCUAACUACGUGCCAGCAGCCGCGGUAAUACGUAGGGCGCGAGCGUUGUCCGGAAUUAUUGGGCGUAAAGAGCUCGUAGGCGGUUUGUCGCGUCUGCUGUGAAAGAUCGGGGCUUAACUCCGGGGCUGCAGUGGGUACGGGCAGACUAGAGUGCGGUAGGGGUAGCUGGAAUUCCUGGUGUAGCGGUGGAAUGCGCAGAUAUCAGGAGGAACACCGAUGGCGAAGGCAGGUUACUGGGCCGUUACUGACGCUGAGGAGCGAAAGAUGGGAGCGAACAGGAUUAGAUACCCUGGUAGUCCAUGCCGUAAACGUUGGGCACUAGGUGUGGGGCCUUUUCCAUGGGUUCUGCGCCGUAGCUAACGCAUUAAGUGCCCCGCCUGGGGAGUACGGCCGCAAGCCUAAAACUCAAAGGAAUUGACGGGGGCCCGCACAAGCGGCGGAGCAUGCGGAUUAAUUCGAUGCAACGCGAAGAACCUUACCAAGGCUUGACAUGCACCGGGAUCAUGCAGAGAUGUGUGAGUCUUCGGACUGGUGUACAGGUGGUGCAUGGUUGUCGUCAGCUCGUGUCGUGAGAUGUUGGGUUAAGUCCCGCAACGAGCGCAANCCUUGUCUUGUGUUGCCAGCACGUUAUGGUGGGGACUCACGAGAGACUGCCGGGGUUAACUCGGAGGAAGGUGGGGAUGACGUCAAUCAUCAUGCCCCUUAUGUCUUGGGCUUCACGCAUGCUACAAUGGCUGGUACAGAGGGUUGCGAUCCUGUGAGGGUGAGCGAAUCCCUUAAAGCCAGUCUCAGUUCGGAUUGGGGUCUGCANCUCGACCCCAUGAAGUCGGAGUCGCUAGUAAUCGCAGAUCAGCAACGCUGCGGUGAAUACGUUC
rnacentral:rRNA from 1 species